UACGGGAGCACAUCAGCGGCAGACGGGUGAGUAACACGUAGAUGACGUACCCUCAAGACGGGGAUAACGGAUGGAAACAUGCGCUAAUACCGGAUGACCUUACGAUGUCAGAAUGGUAAGGAAAGCUACGGCGCUUGAGGAGCGGUCUGCGGCCCAUCAGCUAGUUGGUAGGGUAAAGGCCUACCAAGGCGAAGACGGGUAGGGGGUGUGAGAGCACGGCCCCCCACAAUGGGACUGAGACACGGCCCAUACUCCUACGGGAGGCAGCAGCAGGGAAUAUUGCACAAUGGACGGAAGUCUGAUGCAGCGACGCCGCGUGAGUGAAGAAGGCCUUCGGGUUGUAAAACUCUUUUGAGGGGGAAGAGCGAGGACGGUACCCCUGGAAUAAGCGUCGGCUAACUACGUGCCAGCAGCCGCGGUAAGACGUAGGACGCGAGCGUUAUCCGGAUUUACUGGGCGUAAAGCGUCUGUAGGCGGAUGUGUAAGUUGGGCGUGAAAGCUCCGGGCUUAACCCGGAGAGGCCGUUCAAUACUGCAUAACUUGAGGGUGUCAGAGGGGAGCGGAAUUCCCGGUGUAGCGGUAAAAUGCGCAGAGAUCGGGAGGAACACCAGUGGCGGAGGCGGUUCCCUGGGGCACACCUGACGCUGAGAGACGAAAGCUAGGGGAGCGAACAGGAUUAGAGACCCUGGUAGUCCUAGCCCUAAACGAUGAAUGCUAGGUGUGGGAUCGAAUGGUUCCGUGCCGGAGCAGAACGCGAUAAGCAUUCCGCCUGGGGAGUACGGCCAGCAAGGUUAAAACUCAGACGAAUUCGACGGGGCCCCGCACAAGCAGCGGAGCGUGUGGUAUAAUUCGAUGCUACACGAACGAACCUUACCUGGGUAAAACAUGUAGGUGGUAGUGAAUCAGAAUAGGUGAACGACCCUUCGGGGAGCAAUACACAGGUGCAUGCAUGGCUGUCGUCAGCUCGUGCCGUGAGGUGUCGGGUUAAGUCCCGUAACGAGCGCAACCCUUGCUCCUAGUUACAAGUGUAUAGGGGGACUGCCGGCGGGAAGCCGGAGGAAGGUGGGGAUGACGUCAAGUCAGCAUGGCCCUUAUAUCCAGGGCUACACACACGCUACAAUGGUCGGUACAAAGGGCAGCGAAACCGCGAGGCGGAGCGAAUCCGAGAAAAGCCGAUCGUAGUUCGGAUAGCAGGCUGCAACCCGCCUGCUUGAAGCUGGAGUUGCUAGUAACCG
rnacentral:rRNA from 1 species